rnacentral:rRNA from 1 species
UACGGGGGGGGCAAGCGUUGUUCGGAAUUACUGGGCGUAAAGGGCUCGUAGGCGGCCAACUAAGUCAUACGUGAAAUCCCUCGGCUUAACCGGGGAACUGCGUCUGAUACUGGAUGGCUUGAGAUUGGGAGAGGGAUGCGGAAUUCCAGGUGUAGCGGUGAAAUGCGUAGAUAUCUGGAGGAACACCGGUGGCGAAGGCGGCAUCCUGGACCAACACUGACGCUGAGGAGUGAAAGCCAGGGGAGCAAACGGG